GACAGGUCCAGCCAGAAGGCCUGGUCCUGGCUCCUCUGGGCUGGACUGACAGCUGACUCACAGGCGACAGCAGCAAUCCAUUUCCCUCUAGGUGCCUCAGUUUCCCCAUCUAUAAAAUGGGAGUGAUGACUCCCGCCCAAGGGGAUGUGGGGUGGGGCACCUGGCUAAUUAAACCUAAGAUCAAAGAGGCCAGGAUGAGAGCACCCCUGGGUAGGGAAGGCAGCUUGGAGUAGGAGCCUGUCUGGUUUUCCUGUCUGAGGUCCAGAGGGCAUUGAUAACUGCAAGUCCUGGGUCCUCACCUCUGUGAGAGACAAGGCUCCUUCUGGUCCCAUCCUCUCAACAGCAUGCCUCUGCCAAACUCCAGCCUACCUGUGCCUUGGCCCCCUGGGGGCUGGGAUCUGGAAAGAGGGGGCCCCAAGUCUGGUUUCCAGGACUGAGAUAGAUGUGCCACAUGGACUCACUGAGGCUCAGGACAACCCUGAGGUUGCCUGAGCAAUCAAGGAUGGGUACCUCACAGAUGAGAGUCUGGAGUCCAGAGAGGUACAGUCAUUUGUAGGAAGACCCAGAGCCCUCACAGGUAGAUCCGGACUUCAGCAAACAGCCCCUCUCUGCGUCUGACUUGCCCCCGACAUACCAGCUACCCUCAAUCCUCUUGGGUGUCCAGUUCCCUGGGUUUCUGCUUUCUUUGCAGACCUUUCAUGGCAAUAUUUGGGGUUGUCUUUUUAUUUGUUGUCUGUUUCUUCCAGUCUUCUGUUUGUGAGGGACCCUCUUGGUAACAUUUUUAAAGCUUUAUACGAUUUACACACCACAAAAUGCACUCUCUCUCUUGCUGCUUCCACCUGCCUGCCUGGUAGUUGUUCCCAUAUAGGAGAGUGGUGAUGGCUCUAUCCCUGACAUAGGCCAGGCAUAGAGUUGAGCUCAGCCUCAUCAUCAGGCCUGCCUAGGAGAGUGGCAUUCCUGCUACAAGGACCUAGGUGGGGCCACAGUCAGAUGGCUGAGCAAGGAGUUCCCCACUCAAUGCCCUCCCGUAUUCCCUCUCUUCCUGCUGAGUUUCCGUCCUCCUCCAUGCUGCCAAGUUCUGGGGAGACCCUAGGCAUAAGGCUUGGAAAAAUGAAAGCCAGUUUUCCUGAGGGGUCCUGAAUCUCGUUUUCUCAUCUGUAAAACGGGGAUACAACCAGCCCAUCCCCACAGCACUGGAUGCAGGGGAGCCAGGGAAGCCUCAAACAAAGGAGUGCAUUGGCCCAUCCAGAAACAAAGAGUAGUGGGUGCCAGGGGCAGGGUGCUGGGGAAUGGAGGGUGACUACCAGGAUCACAGGUUUUCUAGACUUGGUAUAACUCUGAGGUGACUGACAACUACUGAACUGUACACAUUAUAAGGGGGUGAUUUCUGCUGGUGUGGUGGCACAUGCCUGUAAUCCCAGUGGCUUGAGAGGCUGAGGCUGGAGGAUUGCAAAUUCAAAGCCAGCCUCAGCAACUUAGCAAGGCCCUAAGCAACUUAGUGAGACCCGUCUUUAAAUAAAAAAUAUAAAGUAGGGCUUGGGGAUGUGGCUCAGUGGUUAAGCGCCCCUGGGUUCAAUCCCCAUGUUGCAAAAUGAAAAAAGAAAAGAUGGUAAAUUUUAUAUUAUGAAUAUUUUACAAAAAAGAGAGAGAGAGUGCAUUUUGUGGUGUGUGAAUUGUAUAAAACUUUAAAAAUGUUACCAAGAGGGUCCCUCACAAACAGAAGACUGGA
rnacentral:lncRNA from 1 species